rnacentral:rRNA from 1 species
GAUGAACGCUAGCGGCAGGCCUAAUACAUGCAAGUCGGACGGGAUUGAGGAGCUUGCUUCUCAUGAGAGUGGCGCACGGGUGCGUAACACGUAUGUAACCUACCUUAGUCAGGGGGAUAGCCUCUCGAAAGAGAGAUUAACACCGCAUAACAUUACGUUGUGGCAUCACAGUUUAUUCAAAUAUUUAUAGGACUAAGAAUGGCAUGCGGAACAUUAGCUAGUUGGUAAGGUAAAGGCUUACCAAGGCAACGAUGUUUAGGGGAUCUGAGAGGAUGACCCCCCACACUGGUACUGAGACACGGACCAGACUCCUACGGGAGGCAGCAGUAAGGAAUAUUGGUCAAUGGACGCAAGUCUGAACCAGCCAUGCCGCGUGCAGGAAGACGGCCCUACGGGUUGUAAACUGCUUUUGUACCGGAAUAAACCUUUUCACGUGUGAGAAGCUGAAUGUACGGUAAGAAUAAGGAUCGGCUAACUCCGUGCCAGCCGCCGCCGUAA